rnacentral:lncRNA from 1 species
AAGGAACGAACAUAUAUAUUCUUGCGUAGAUAUGUACAUAAAUAGGUAUAUGUCGCGUGAAACAUUAUACAUAUUUUAAAUGUAUAAUUAGAGGAAUACGAUGCCGUAAACCUGAAAAUGCAUAAUCUUAGUAAUGAUCGCUGAUCCCAUGCACUCAUUCAAAACCUUGUAAAACAAGACAGCUUAAGGUGGAGAACGUGGAGGAUCGAAUUAAUUUCAAUGCAAACAUAUACGUAAACGACUAGUGAUGAUCCUAAUCUACCAUACCUAAUUAAGGUUCCAAAACCAGAGGACGUUUACUUACGUACCAACAUAUUUGGGGUAGAAUCUUUCUUAGAAGGGUGGACUUGAUGUAGAUGAAAUUAACAUAAUGUCUAGCUUCCGUAAGAUUUAUCUUUGACGUUGGUGUUUGAGUUACCCUAAAAUUAUAGAUUAGAUGUUUGUGUUGUUG